rnacentral:rRNA from 1 species
AGUGAACGCUGGCGGUAGGCCUAACACAUGCAAGUCGAACGGCAGCACAGUAAGAGCUUGCUCUUACGGGUGGCGAGUGGCGGACGGGUGAGGAAUACAUCGGAAUCUACUUUUUCGUGGGGGAUAACGCAGGGAAACUUACGCUAAUACCGCAUACGACCUACGGGUGAAAGCAGGGGAUCUUCGGACCUUGCGCGAUUGAAUGAGCCGAUGUCGGAUUAGCUAGUUGGCGGGGUAAAGGCCCACCAAGGCGACGAUCCGUAGCUGGUCUGAGAGGAUGAUCAGACACACUGGAACUGAGACACGGUCCAGACUCCUAAGGGAGGCAGCAGUGGGGAAUAUUGGACAAUGGGAGCAAGCCUGAUCCAGCCAGACCGCGUGGGUGAAGAAGGCCUUCGGGUUGUAAAGCCCUUUUGUUGGGAAAGAAAAGCAGCAGGUUAAUAACCCGCUGUUCUGACGGUACCCAAAGAAUAAGCACCGGCUAACUUCGUG